AUAUGUUCUCUUUUAGAGAAAGUCCUGAAUGCAUCUGAAAAAUAUGUAUUCUGAUGUUGUGGGAUACAACACUCUGCAGAUUCACUAAUCAUGACCUUUAUUAUGGUCAUCAUCUCUGAAGUGAAACUGAGUUAUUCACCAGGCACAGCAGUUUGCAGCGUCCAUUGUUCCAUUCUGCUGGUGUGUUUCUCUUUGGAGCCCUCUGUAGUCACCAGUAGUCAAUGUACCUCUACAGGUUUGAGCCACCCCUCCCACACUACAGCUCAGAGAGAAAGUGCCACUCCUCACUUCCCAUGUCUGCACUUGGUCCCUCUCCUUUCUCUCUCUGCGGGCCCUAAUUCUCACCUCAGAUACUUGCUCAGUCCUGGGAAGCCACUUCUCUCUUCUUCCCCUUGCGCUCUUCUAGCAUCUGGAUUCCAAAUAUCAGAGAAGAUGUGUCACCAUCCUCCUGCCAUCCCAGAAGGCCUGCUUGCUUCUUUAAUCCUAUAUUAAACUAAACUAUAACACAACAA